rnacentral:rRNA from 1 species
UGGGCGGACGGGUGAGUAACGCGUGGGUAACCUGCCUUGUACUGGGGGACAACAGUUAGAAAUGACUGCUAAUACCGCAUAAGCGCACAGUAUCGCAUGAUACGGUGUGAAAAACUCCGGUGGUACAAGAUGGACCCGCGUCUGAUUAGCUAGUUGGUAAGGUAACGGCUUACCAAGGCGACGAUCAGUAGCCGACCUGAGAGGGUGACCGGCCACAUUGGGACUGAGACACGGCCCAA